GAAGGUGUGCUGUGAGGCAUGCUGGAGGUAUCAGAAGUGCGAAUGCUGACAUAAGUAACGAUAAAGCGGGUGAAAAGCCCGCUCGCCGGAAGACCAAGGGUUCCUGUCCAACGUUAAUCGGGGCAGGGUGAGUCGACCCCUAAGGCGAGGCCGAAAGGCGUAGUCGAUGGGAAACAGGUUAAUAUUCCUGUACUUGGUGUUACUGCGAAGGGGGGACGGAGAAGGCUAUGUUGGCCGGGCGACGGUUGUCCCGGUUUAAGCGUGUAGGCUGGUUUUCCAGGCAAAUCCGGAAAAUCAAGGCUGAGGCGUGAUGACGAGGCACUACGGUGCUGAAGCAACAAAUGCCCUGCUUCCAGGAAAAGCCUCUAAGCAUCAGGUAACAUCAAAUCGUACCCCAAACCGACACAGGUGGUCAGGUAGAGAAUACCAAGGCGCUUGAGAGAACUCGGGUGAAGGAACUAGGCAAAAUGGUGCCGUAACUUCGGGAGAAGGCACGCUGAUAUGUAGGUGAAGUCCCUUGCGGAUGGAGCUGAAAUCAGUCGAAGAUACCAGCUGGCUGCAACUGUUUAUUAAAAACACAGCACUGUGCAAACACGAAAGUGGACGUAUACGGUGUGACGCCUGCCCGGUGCCGGAAGGUUAAUUGAUGGGGU
rnacentral:rRNA from 1 species